rnacentral:rRNA from 1 species
CCGUUCUCAGUUCGGAUCGGAGUCUGCAACCCGACUCCGUGAAGCUGGAUUCGCUAGUAAUCGCGCAUCAGCCAUGGCGCGGUGAAUACGUUCCCGGGCCUUGUACACACCGCCCGCCAAGCCAUGGGAGCCGGGGGCGCCUGAAGUCCGGGACCGCGAGGACCGGCCUAGGGCGAAACUGGUAACUGGGGCUAAGUCGUAACAAGGUACC